rnacentral:rRNA from 1 species
GGCAGCAGUAGGGAAUCUUCCACAAUGGGCGAAAGUCUGAUGGAGCAACGCCGCGUGAGCGAAGAAGGUUUUCGGAUCGUAAAGCUCUGUUGUGAGGGAAGAACAAGUAUGGGAGUAACUGCCCGUACCUUGACGGUACCUCAUCAGAAAGCCACGGCUAACUACGUGCCAGCAGCCGCGGUAAUACGUAGGUGGCAAGCGUUGUCCGGAAUUAUUGGGCGUAAAGCGCGCGCAGGCGGUCCCUUAAGUCUGAUGUGAAAGCCCACGGCUCAACCGUGGAAUGUCAUUGGAAGCUGUUCAACUUGAAUGCAGAAGAGGUAAGUGGAAUUCCAUGUGUAGCGGUGAAAUGCGUAGAUAUAUGGAGGAACACCAGUGGCGAAGGCGACUUACUGGUCUGUGAUUGACGCUGAGGCUCGAAAGCGUGGGUAGCAAACAGGAUUAGAUACCCUGGUAGUCCACGCCGUAAACGAUGAGUGCUAAGUGU